GGGGAAUAUUGGACAAUAGGCGCAAGCCUGAUCCAGCCAUGCCGCGUGAGUGAUGAAGGCCCUAGGGUUGUAAAGCUCUUUCAACGGUGAAGAUAAUGACGGUAACCGUAGAGGAAGCCCCGGCUAACUUCGUGCCAGCAGCCGCGGUAAUACGAAGGGGGCUAGCGUUGUUCGGAAUUACUGGGCGUAAAGCGCACGUAGGCGGAUACUUAAGUUAGGGGUGAAAUCCCGAGGCUCAACCUCGGAACUGCCUCUGAUACUGGGUAUCUCGAGUAUGGUAGAGGUGAGUGGAAUUCCGAGUGUAGAGGUGAAAUUCGUAGAUAUUCGGAGGAACACCAGUGGCGAAGGCGGCUCACUGGACCAUUACUGACGCUGAGGUGCGAAAGCGUGGGGAGCAAAC
rnacentral:rRNA from 1 species